GAUGAACGCUGGCGGCGUGCCUAAUACAUGCAAGUCGAGCGAACGGACGAGAAGCUUGCUUUUCUGAUGUUAGCGGCGGACGGGUGAGUAACACGUGGAUAACCUACCUAUAAGACUGGGAUAACUUCGGGAAACCGGAGCUAAUACCGGAUAAUAUUUUGAACCGCAUGGUUCAUAGGUGAAAGACGGUCUUGCUGUCACUUAUAGAUGGAUCCGCGCUGCAUUAGCUAGUUGGUAAGGUAACGGCUUACCAAGGCAACGAUGCAUAGCCGACCUGAGAGGGUGAUCGGCCACACUGGAACUGAGACACGGUCCAGACUCCUACGGGAGGCAGCAGUAGGGAAUCUUCCGCAAUGGGCGAAAGCCUGACGGAGCAACGCCGCGUGAGUGAUGAAGGUCUUCGGAUCGUAAAACUCUGUUAUUAGGGAAGAACAUAUGUGUAAGUAACUGUGCACAUCUUGACGGUACCUAAUCAGAAAGCCACGGCUAACUACGUG
rnacentral:rRNA from 1 species